GCGGCGAUAGCUCAGUGGGUAAAGCGUCAGGUGAGUAACCUAUCCGCGCGGGUUCGAAUCCCGCCUGUGGCA